ensembl:lncRNA
CUCUUCAUGUGCCUGUUGGCUACCUGUCUCCUUUGGAGAAAUGUCUGUUUAGGUCUUCAGGAAUUUUUUGAUUGGGUUGUUUUGCUGUUGUUGAGUUAUAUGAUCUGUUUGUGUAUUUUGGAAACUAAAGCUUUGGAGGUCACAAAUGUUUGCAAAUAUUUUCUCCUGUUCCACAGGCUGUCUUUUUCCCCUGGGCAUAUAUACAUAGUUUCUCCCAAUACAUUUUUGAUCCCCUCUCCCCCCUCUCGAAUCUCUAUUGUGUGUAGGGUGGCACAUGAUCCCGUGAGCCUAUUUUCCCUAAUCUCACUUUGUCUGCUGGCCUGGCUGGCUGACUCCACUGUCGUCUUCCAGAGCGCGGACUCAGCCUGUCCGCAGCACCUGCAGCCCAGCUUUUUAUCUUAGCGAAUGUUUCCUGAGUUUUCAUGGCUCCUGUUUCUAGUUCUUAUCAUCAUCCCCGUUUCUGUCAAUGGCUUUUCUUAAUCUCUUUAGUGUUUUUAUUAUCUCCUUUUUGAACUCUAUAUAUCUAGACUGAAGACGUCUUUUUUGUCGUCCUUUCAGUUUUCUUGGUCUUAUAACGGGAUGGUUCCCUUGCUCUGUGAAAGUGAAGUCGCUCAGUCGUGUCUGACUCUUUGCGACCCCAUGGACUGUAGCCCACCAGGCUCCUCCGGCCACGGGAUUUUCCAGCCGAUGGCUUCUCUCAAGUUACCGCCGUGGCGUCCAGAGUGCACAGGCUCAUUGGUGGCAGCACGUGGUCUCAGUUGCCCCUGGAUUCAUACAAGUAAUUUUCUUUCCUGGGAAGCACUUACCAAGCACUGACUAGGUGUCAGGCACUCUUCUUAGCAUUUUACUUAAGCAUAUUAAGUCACUGAAUCCUGGCAACAGUUUAAUAAAAACACUGAGAUACAGAGGAGGUUUGCUAAAGAAGUCACAGCUGGGAUUCUUGAUCCAGAGUCAGGAUUAUUAAACUCAGAGCAGCACCAGCCACGUCUACAGCUAAAGAGUGACCGUCUCGUGCGUUGCACGAACUGUCUAAAGACUAUGUAUCUACAUAUUAACUGUAGUUCCAAUUCCUUUUAUACUAUGAAUUCUUACUAUAUUCCAC